rnacentral:rRNA from 1 species
UACGUAGGGGGCGAGCGUUGUCCGGAUUUAUUGGGCGUAAAGAGCGUGUAGGCGGCCAGACAGGUCCGCUGUGAAAACUCGAGGCUCAACCUCGAGAUGUCGGUGGAAACCGUCUGGCUAGAGUCCGGAAGAGGCGAGUGGAAUUCCUGGUGUAGCGGUGGAAUGCGCAGAUAUCAGGAGGAACACCAAUAGCGAAGGCAGCUCGCUGGGACGUUACUGACACUGAGGCGCGAAAGCGUGGGGAGCGAACAGG